rnacentral:misc_RNA from 1 species
GAUGAAGAACGUAGCGAAAUGCGAUACGUAGUGUGAAUUGCAGAAUUCAGUGAAUCAUCGAAUCUUUGAACGCACAUUGCGCCCUUUGGUAUUCCAAAGGGCAUGCCUGUUCGAGCGUCAUUUGUACCCUCAAGCUUUGCUUGGUGUUGGGCGUCUUGUCUCCAGUCCGCUGGAGACUCGCCUUAAAGUCAUUGGCAGCCGGCCUACUGGUUUCGGAGCGCAGCACAAGUCGCACUCUUUUCCAGCCAAGGUCAGUGUCCAACAAGCCUUUUUUCAACUUUUGACCUCGGAUCAGGUAGGGAUACCCGCUGAACUUAAGCAUAUCAUAAGCGGGGA